rnacentral:rRNA from 1 species
CGGCAGCAGCUCAAAUUUGAAAUCUGGCUCUUUCAGGGUCCGAGUUGUAAUUUGUAGAAGAUGCUUUGGGUGUGGCUCCGGUCUAAGUUCCUUGGAACAGGACGUCAUAGAGGGUGAGAGCCCCGUACGGUUGGACGCCUAGCCUCUGUAAAGCUCCUUCGAC